rnacentral:rRNA from 1 species
CGCGAAUAGCUCAUUACAACAGCUAUAAUUUACUUGAAUUUGACAACCCUACUUGGAUACCGGUGGUAAUUCUAGCGCUAAUACAUGCACCAAAGCUCCGACCGCGAGGGAAGAGCGCAUUUAUUAGAACAAAACCACACGGCUUCGGCCGUCCAAUGUUGACUCAUAGUAACUGAGCUGAUCGCAUGGUCUUGCACCGGCGACGUGUCUUUCAAGUAUCUGCUGUAUCAACUUUCGAUGGUAGUGUAUCUGACUACCAUGGUGAUCACGCGUAACGGAGAAUAAGGGUUCGACUCCGGAGAAGGGGCCUGAGAAAUGGCCACUACGUCUAAGGAUGGCAGCAGGCGCGCAAAUUACCCACUCUCAGUUCGAGGAGGUAGUGACGAAAAAUAACAAGGCCGUUCUCUUUGAGGCCGGCCAUUGGAAUGGGUACAACUUAAACCCUUUAACGAGUAUCAAUGAGAGGGCAAGUCUGGUGCCAGCAGCCGCGGUAAUUCCAGCU